AUUAAUAGGUAUAUUCUUUAAACUUGAAGAAUUUGGCGGUGGUUUAAUCUUAUUAGAGGAACCUGUUUUUGGAUCGAUAUACCACGCAGAAUCUUACUUACUUUAGCUCAGUUUGUAUACCAUCAUUAUCAGACGAUCUCUAAAGGGUAAGUCGUUAAAGUUUAUAGAAAUAAGCUAAAUUAGAUCAAGGUGCAGCUUAUAGGUAAGUUAAAAUGGGUUACAAUAAAAUUUAUUUAUGACGAAAUAGCUAAGAGAAAGAAUGUUAUGAAGGAGGAUUUAAUUGUAAUAUAAGUUUAAUAAGCUCAGAAGAUAUAAGUUCUAAAUCAU
rnacentral:rRNA from 1 species